rnacentral:piRNA from 1 species
UCCCUAAGUUAGAGCAUGGUGAUGCC